CUGCACCCCUGUCACCCCAGCAGUACAGCCACCAGAUCCACGUGAAGGAGGAACCCACUGAGAUGGAGGAAGACAGCAGACCUGUGUCGCUCAUGGCAACGGUCACCCAGAACCUGGCGUUGCCUGGCGAUGAGCGUGAGAUGGAGGAGGAGCUUCCGGCUGAGGAGCUGGAGUAGAGGGGCGGAGUCUGGCAGUGCGCCUCUUCCCCAUUGGUGUAAAGUAGAACAACCACAAAAAAAGAGAUACAAGAAAAAAGAAGCGAUACAAAAGAAAGAAAAACAAAAAAAUAAAACAGGGUUCGACCUCAUCUGCUCGCAAACGCCAGUCCGCCACCGUGCUCGCUUAGCUUCCUUCCGCUGAGCACAAACUCGCUCUCCCAACAUCCUUCCUGCUUUGCGUUCUUCAGUCUUUUACUUCCUGUUCCCGCGCGCGCUCGUGCGUCGGUCCCGCCAGUCCCCCCCCCUCCCGCGGCCUGCGUUCCGAGGUUCCGCAAGGCCAUUCCACCAUGGACAGGACGUUCCCCUCACCACUAAAAUGUGCCACACACUCCUCCCUCCCCGGGAUCAAGAGAGCAAACGGCACCGAGUGGCACCCGUUUCUGUCCAAAUUCAGUAAACAUACAGGUGUGAGUAUCUCUACAUGCAAGCGUGCACACCAAAACCUGUAUAUAUUUUGGAAUAUUUCUUGGAGGUGCCUACCUCUCUUUUCAAAAGUCCUAUUGGUUCUUUUUGGCAAGAAAAUAAAAAAACACCCCCUUGCUUUGUGACGGGAGUGAGAGUGGAGGUUUUCAAGAUUACCUCAGAAAUCUGUUCACUCAACUAUGAUCACUGAUCAGUUUCUGAAACUGAGUUUUUCUUGUCACGUGUUCCUGGUGUUUUAUUAUUAUUAUUAUUAUUAUUAUUAUUAGUGUUUUUUGUUUUUAAAUUUCCUUUUGAGGGGAUGCUGGGACUGUUGGUGAUGCUGUAGGGUGGAGAUGCAGUGUAACUGAUACGCCCCUAUCGAAAAGGCGAAGCAACAGCAGAAACGUUCGGACGGUACGCCCUGAGGCUUGCAGAGCUCUCGCCCGUGCUGCCUGUGAAGCGCUGGCUGGUUUUGGGCAGGACUGAGGAAGGGGUGAUAACUGUUUGAUUCCUGUCACUUGGCAGUGCUAACCGUUGUAAUUUAGAAACUGACUGCUUGCUUCCACGAUAUCGGUCAAACCUUCUGCCAGACGGUGUCACCAGGAUCAGCAUGCUCGAUGGAGAAUUUGCUAGGAUCAGUUUUUCCUUUUGUUUAACAAAAAAAAAUGCGGUUUCCAAAAAGGACAUUUCAGGAAAAACAGCUCUUUUCUCCUUCAUUUCUCUUAAUCGAAACGAUGACUGGCAAGAAUUUAACCUCCAAAGCCGGGUGGUGAAAUGUUACAACCGGGAGCGAAUGUCGCAGGAGAUAAAAUGGACUUUGCUUUUGGUAAUUAUGAGAAGUGUGUCUGUUAGUUUUUGAUUUCCUUUGUAUUUGUUGUCAUUACUUCUACAGGUCAGCUCUUUCUAUAUGUCAUAUUUCAGUUGCCUGGUGUCUGUAAUGGAUUUGUUAGAGAUACUUAUCUAAACUGCUUGUUCUCAUCAUUCCAAAUAGGGGACAAUUUUUAUUGAGGAAAAAUAGUAUUAUUCACUUCCCCCCCAUAUCUCACCAUUGUCCAGCUCUGCAGGAAGACAGACUUUCUGCUGACAGAUGUGUUGAGUUUAGCACUUAAAAUGUAUGGACUGAGAAACAGAACAUUGUCACCGUUAUAGACCAAGGAGAAGCCGAGUGUUGAUCCAUAUCUGUCUGUCUGGUCCCGUAAGCAGUAGAAAAGAUGGGUUACAAAUGAGAGGCUCUCUGAUAACAUCAGGAAAGCCAUCCCUCCUUCCGACAGCAAUUCAUGCCUCUCUCAUCCUGCUUUUUUGUCAGGUUUUAGUUUUUUUAAUUAACAUCAGCUGCGAUACAAAGCAUUGCUUUAAAAAAUAUUACUUCAGUCACAGAAUACCUCAUUCCAUGGAGAUUCCACCUGAAAUGGUGUCCAAUGUAAAAAAAUAUAUAUAUACUAAUAAUAAAAAUAUGUAGGGAAUUCUUGAUGUGGGUAACCAACAUAAUGACACUCUUGCUCAAUAUCCAUUUAAAAAUAUCAGUUUAAACUUGUCUACUUUAUAAAUGUAUAUGGCUUUCUGCAAUUCACUAUGUGAGUUGGAAUCCUUGGAACAGCGUGUGAGAUUUUAACUUUUGUCAGUGAGCACAAAAGCAUCGUUUUUUUUCUGCAGUGCCAGACCAAAUUUAAUGACAUUUUUUGUGUAUUAACAGGUUUAUUUUCCCAGUUUUUUUUUUGUUACAGGUUACCAAAGAAACGAGUAGAAAACCAAAAACCCUUCUGUUUUUUUUCCUCUUUCCACCAAAAGUACUGGCCAAAAGAAAACAGAUAUGUAGUUUAAAUUAUUCUUGUUAUUAUUUCUUAUUUUUCUGAAAGUGAAAUAAUUUGUUCAUUACUUACAGUACGGAGCAUUCCAAAACCAAAGUUAUAAAAAAUGCAGAAGAGAAAGAAUUUGGUUGCUUUAAAAAAAAAAUAUUUCUGUGGAGUGAAGAAUUCUGGAUAGAUGUGGUAAAAGGCCAAAAACAGACAGUAUUAACAAACCUCAUGCAGUUCCUUAGCGUGGAGACAGAAAGCACUUAAAAGCUGUACCGUUCUCAGGCCAUGACUGUGUUUUAAACACGACCCUAAAAAGCCUCACAAUAGAAGAUUGCAAAGAACUAUUUUACCCUCGUAAGGCACUUGAAAAUGACGGUAACAAACCUUUAUGUGACACUUGAAGCCAGCGGAACAGACUCAGUGGUCUUUGUAAUGUUGCGGUUAUUCAGUGUUGUUUCCAAACAGAUCUAUAUUUCACUCAAUAACGCACCUAUACCAAAAGAGCCAAGCAUUUCAUGGGCACAGACAAAGCCACUUCAUCUUUAUAAUGCAUAUUUUUCAUAUGAACGUAGAAAUUAAUUCAUAUGCUGAUCUCAGACUUGAUGUGUUGAAGUUUGUGUAUUUUUUAUUUUUUUGUCAUUUUAUUUUAAAAGUAUUGGGAAGUAUUCCAAAUGUUCUGUUAGCUGUGAUUGAUGGAUAACUCUUUGACAGGUAAAUGUGGAAAUAUAAACAUCAGUUUUAUUUUUUUCCCCUUCAGUUUUGUAAACGUUCUAACCAUUUCAUAUGUGUGUGUGUGAAACACCCACACAUAUAAUGGUGGUGGUGUUCUCAGCAGGAUUUUUACACGGCUGUGUGUUCGGUUUUGACAGUAGGCUGAAGAAUAGGUCAUGAUGUAAAUUAAGUAGAACAGGGGGAACCUUUUUGCAAAUUAAUAGCCUCUCCUGCACUUCAGACUAUGUUUAAUUGCGGAGGAAUUAUUUAAAUUACAAAUCUGAAAGCAGCAGAUUUUCAUAACACUUAAAUGGGGCAAAAUGCACUGGAUUUUAAUCCAUAACCUGCUUUAACACUUCAAGCCAAGACAUCUGCAACAAAGACAAAACCAAAAACACUACCUCCUAUAAAAACAGUCCACAAAGUUGAAGGCUAAUGGUUUGAGACUGAAUAUCUUCGUUUGCUUCCGUUAUCUUUAAUAAUGAUAGAAUAUACCAAAAUCCAGUUUUACAUUUACGCAGUUUACCGUCAUUACAUGCUGAGUUUAAAGAUUUGCCAGAGUAUCUGGACUCCCGAAUUCACGAGCAAGAGCAUAAAUACACACUUAUUUCCUUGACAAAUAAAAAAACGACUACCUCUCCCAAAUGUUGAGUUCAGUAGAGUGCAAACCAUAAGUGGUCAACGUGUUUAAAAGGUCUACACAGAAUGCAUGUUCGCCAUCUUUAAGUGAUCGAUUAGCAUAUUCUCUAUAAAUACGGCGUGCGCGUGAAGGCUUAAUUGCGCGCUCUAAUUACACGCGCAUAAUGAAGGCCAGGCUCGCUUUAAGCCAAUCAGGGCGAUCUGGACGGCUGGUCAUUAUGGUGGGUUCAGUGGGGUAGUCACCUGGCUGUCAGACUGCGAGAUGGGCGCGAAGCGUUAUUACAGCCGCUCCAAAUGGCCGGUGUUCAAAUUAAGCAUUUCAAAAGUGUGGUUUUAAGACGGCAGUGCACAGAAAAAAAGAGAAUAAACUGCAGAUUGCCGUGUGACGGUCUCGUAACAGUAGUUUAAAUUCACGGUCUGAAUGCUUUAGAGACCGUAUACUCCCAUAGCCUGUGACUAAACAUAUAGAGGAUAUUUCUUUUAUUAUUAUUAUUAUUAUUAUUUGAUUUUUUUCUUUCUUUUCCUUGUAUGGGCAUUUUUUCAUAGAUCACGCAAAGGAAAUUUGUUGUUGGUUUCUACUGAUUCACAGCUUUUUUUGUUUUUGUUUUUGUUUUGUUUUGUUUUGUCCGCGGAGUCGGAGCGUAGGUGGAGGGGGUUGCCCGUGCCACUCUGUGGGCACGCGCGUCAGCAGCGUUGAGAAUUCCUCUGCCUGGGUGAACUGCCAUCUCUGAUGGGGGCAUCUCAUCUUUUUACCGGAAAUAAAAUAAGAUAUCCAAAGAGUAAAGCAGAGCUUAUCCACACACCGUACACAGCAGAGACCAGAAAAAACACUUACAAAUGAGUUUUAUUGAAACUUUCACCAUAGAGGAACUGCUGCAUUAAAAAAUAUAUAUAUCUUCAGUUGUGCUUUAAGGUACUCUUGUAAACAGAGUUGUUUUUUAAGAUGUAGAUCGACAUUUGUUGAUGGUAUUAGCAG